rnacentral:rRNA from 1 species
UACGAGGGGGGCAAGCGUUGUUCGGAAUUAUUGGGCGUAAAGGGCGUGUAGGCGGUCAAUCAAGUCAGAUGUGAAAUAUCCCGGCUUAACUGGGAGGGGCCAUUUGAAACUGGUUAACUAGAGUGCAGGAGAGGUCAGUAGAAUUCCCGGUGUAGUGGUGAAAUGCGUAGAGAUCCGGAGGAACACCAAAGGCGAAGGCAGUGUCCUGGGGAGUACCUGACGCUCAGGUGCGAAAGCCAGGGGAGCGAACGGG